GCGACUCUAAACAAGUAUAAUCCUCGGGGCUUGCCCUUGAGCACUAGCCAUUUCUUUUAGAUGGCAACAUUACCAGUAUGCGGGAACAUUCAACUAAGUUGGAUAACCCGCAGUCACAUUUGUGGCCCACAGGCUAAAUGGUAAUGGGCAUAGAUGCAAGGCAGCUAUGCUUCAGAUAUAGUCGGUCCCCAGAUACCUCUGGGAAACUUGUGGACUUGGUGGCGGAGCUCCUUCGAAAUCAAUUUCCACGAGCGAGUAAACGUUCCGUAGGUGAACCUGCGGAAGGAUCAUUAC
rnacentral:rRNA from 1 species